AGAAAAUGGAAAUUUCUGAACUUAAAAUAAUGAAAUAUUAAAUUGUCCUCUUCAAGGUUUGAAUCCGUUUACAGUCCUCCCAGCAGUGUAUAGGAGUACUAAUGAGCCCUCACCAGCACUGAAUACAAGAACCCUUGGCAUUCUUGGUUUGUCAUUCUCAAAUUUCCACUCCUCAGAAGCUUCCCAAAAGGUUCCUGACAAGUAGGAAAUGGUAAUUGGUUUGCGACAGGACUGGGAAACUGCCAGGACUGGCUGAGAAGGUCACUUAGCACUCAGGAAGUCUAGCUAAGGGCGCAGAGUCUGCAGUCAGUGUAGGAGCUCUGCAGCAGUCUGUCCUGACUCCAUCCUGCAGUGUGGCCACUUCCAGUCAUUGUUCCAUCAAUCAGAACGUUACUGGUCAGCAAAGGUCACUGGUACCCAUCAUCAUCAUCCCUGAAUUUUUGCAAAUUUGGUCUCUAGGAGCCUGGGAGAGACUAAAAGCUGGCAAUAAAUCUAGCCUGAUGAACCCAAGCACAGCUGAGAAGUUCCCCACUUUGGAGAGUACCAGGACAUAUCACCCAGGGUCCACCUGAAGUCUAGGCCUGGGAAGGAUGAUCUGAUACUGUGACUGCAACCCAUACAAACAAGGUAUCUAUAUUUUCUUCUCUUUUUCACCAACCAAAAGAAAAGAGGCUGAGAAGCAGGUGAGCCUGAAUACUGUCUUAGAAAGUAUGCACUAGAUUCUGCAGACACCGAAGAGCCACUGGAAAACUCUUAAGAGAAAGACUGGGGUAACCAGAGGUAAGCCAUCAAGAGCAUUGUAGGUGGGAAGCCCUUGGUGACUCACUUCAUUUCUCUUUCCCUGGGACCAUCUUCCUUGUGCCACCCGCAGACCCAGAAGUCAAGCCUGUAGGAUUAAACCUCUCAGCCCUGAGAUGGAAGACUGCCAGUAAUAAGCAGGGGCACAGUCAAUGUGAGUACAUUUCUCUGCCCAUGCAGAGCUCCCCAAAACUUGACAGCAAGCACAAAACAACCUGGCUCUGCCCCAAGCACAAAAACAAGAGGGGAGAAAGGACAGGUGGUGAAGCAUUCACAAAAGCUAGGGAAAAAAAGGCAGAUUGUUUUUUUCCUACAAUGUAGGAGCUUUUAUUACUAGAAAAUAAAAUCCUGUCUGAGCAAAUGCCAGGAAAACGAUUAAGGGCUCAAUUUAGACUGGGAGGCUUGGCCGGGCACUGCUGAGCAGAGAACUAAACAAUGUCAGCCCCACUCUCUGUGCACAUCACGUUUGGGGUGAGCGGCCCAAGCCCUAGCCGGGCCUCUCGCCACCAGUUCUGCAGAAUUACAGUUAAGCUUUGGCCACUUGGUUUCAGUUAAAAGGAUUGUGUGGAAGGAAGGAUAAAAGGCUCUUGCGUGCAGACCAGCUACCGCAUCUGAGAACUGAGAAGAAAUGCAGCCAGGUUGGUGCCAAGCCCUGCAGGAACGCUUCUUCCCUGGGGUUCUCAGGAUCCCCACCCUGACCCAGGAAGAGCAUGAGAUGGUGGAGAAGCAUGGGCCAGUGUGGGAGUCAGACAAGCCUAUGUUGGAGCCCCCAUCCUACUGCCCAUGGGGCCUGUAGACAAAAUUUUAAUUUCUCUGAGCCCUAGUGCCUUAUCUACAAAGUGAAGAUCAUAAUUUAUAGAAUUAUUAUGAGGAUAAAAUAACAUGAUAUAUACAAAAGCAACAAUAAAGUAGAUACUUAGUAGUCUUCCUUUCCCUUUUUUUCUCCAGGGCAUCCUAAGCCAAAGAAUUGUGGUACAGUGGGGAAGGUAUGAGAUUUGAGGUUGAGAACCUAGUGUUCUAGUCCUUGUUCUACAACUAACGAGCUGUGGUGACCUUGGGGAAGUCACUCAGUCUCUCUGGACCUCACUUUCUCCUGCUGAACACUGUGGGCCUUAGAUUGAAUAAUCUGUAAGGGCUCCUUCUAUCUUUGACUUUCAAUAUUAAUUAUAAUAACUACUACUAUUAAGCAAUUGCUAUGUGCCAGGCAGGUUGCUCGGCAAUGCAUAUGCAUUAUCUUAUCAAGAAUUAUUAUCCCUAUUUUACAAGUAAAGAAAAUGUGGUAUAUAGAAGCUUAAGAACUUGUCCCAAAUUGCACAGCUAGUAAGGGCAGGCCAGGCAGUGUUUGCUGUGGCUUACUUCUUUUUAACUAAUUAAUGUAUCCCCAGGGUUCCAAAUCUUUUUACUGAACAGGUAAUAAAAUCCAGCCACUCUGCAGGCUCUAGGUCAGGUUUAAGCAGCUGCCAAUUCUUAGAACUAUAGCUGGGGUUUCAGGUCUAAGGAAUAUUGAUCUACUUGUAGCAGUGUGAAACAGUCCCCACAGAGAAAGAAUCUUAUAU